rnacentral:rRNA from 1 species
GACGAACGCUGGCGGCGUGCUUAACACAUGCAAGUCGAACGGGUCUGCCCUGUUUUUUGCGGGGUGGGUCAGUGGCGAACGGGUGAGUAACACGUGAGUAACCUGCCCCUCACUUCUGGAUAACCGCUUGAAAGGGUGGCUAAUACGGGGUGUUCUGGCUGUGCCGCAUGGUGUGGCUGGGAAAGAUUCACUUUUGUGGUGUUUUGGUGGGGGAUGGGCUCGCGGCCUAUCAGCUUGUUGGUGGGGUGAUGGCCUGCCAAGGCUUUGACGGGUAGCCGGCUUGAGAGGGUGGGCGGUCACACUGGGACUGAGAUACGGCCCGGACUCGUGCAGGAGGCAGCAGUGGAGGGUAGUGCACAAUGGGCGGAAGCCUGAUGCAGCGACGUCGCGUGAGGGAUGGAGGCCUUCGGGUUGUGAACCUCUUUCGCCGGUGAAGAAGGUCCUGCUCUUUGUGGUGGGGUUGACGGUAGCCGGGUUAUGAAGCGCCGGCUAACUACGUG